rnacentral:rRNA from 1 species
GACGAACGCUGGCGGCGUGCUUAACACAUGCAAGUCGAACGGAGUGGCGAACGGGUGAGUAACAUGUGGGUGACCUGCCCUGCACUUCGGGAAAAGCCUGGGAAACUGGGUCUAAUACCGGAUAGUGUGGGAGGGGCCCGGGGCCUAUCAGUUUGUUGGUGGGGUAAUGGCCUACCACGGCGGCGACGGGUAGUCGGCCUGCGGGGGGGGACGGCCACAAUGGGACUGAGGAACGGUCCAGAACUCUACGGGGGGCAAGAGUGGGGAAUAUUGCACAAUGGGCGGAAGCCUGAUGCAGCGACGCUGCGUGGGGGAUGACGGCCUUCGGGUUGUGAACUCCUUUCACCAUCGACGCGGUAGAUGCAGAAGAAGCACCGGCUAACUACGUGCCAGCAGCCGCGGUAAUAC